UACGGGAGGCAGCAGGGGGGAAUAUUGCACAAUGGGCGCAAGCCUGAUGCAGCCAUGCCGCGUGUAUGAAAAAGGCCUUCGGGUUGUAAAGUACUUUCAGUCGUGAGGAAGGUGUUAAGGUUAAUAACCUUAGCAAUUGACGUUAGCGACAGAAGAAGCACCGGCUAACUCCGUGCCAGCAGCCGCGGUAAUACGGAGGGUGCGAGCGUUAAUCGGAAUUACUGGGCGUAAAGGGCACGCAGGCGGUUAAUUAAGUUGGAUGUGAAAUCCCCGGGCUUAACCUGGGAAUGGCAUUCAAGACUGGUUAGCUAGAGUCUUGUAGAGAGGGGUAGAAUUCCAUGUGUAGCGGUGAAAUGCGUAGAGAUGUGGAGGAAUACCGGUGGCGAAGGCGGCCCCUGGACAAAGACUGACGCUCAUGUGCGAAAGCGUGGGGAGCAAACGAGGAUUAGAUACC
rnacentral:rRNA from 1 species